rnacentral:rRNA from 1 species
GACGAACGCUGGCGGCGUGCCUAAUACAUGCAAGUAGAACGCACAGUUUAUACCGUAGCUUGCUACACCAUAAACUGUGAGUUGCGAACGGGUGAGUAACGCGUAGGUAACCUGCCUGGUAGCGGGGGAUAACUAUUGGAAACGAUAGCUAAUACCGCAUAAUAUUAAUUAUUGCAUGAUAAUUGAUUGAAAGAUGCAAUUGCAUCACUACCAGAUGGACCUGCGUUGUAUUAGCUAGUAGGUGAGGUAACGGCUCACCUAGGCGACGAUACAUAGCCGACCUGAGAGGGUGAUCGGCCACACUGGGGCUGAGACACGGCCCAGACUCCUACGGGAGGCAGCAGUAGGGAAUCUUCGGCAAUGGACGAAAGUCUGACCGAGCAACGCCGCGUGAGUGAAGAAGGUUUUCGGAUCGUAAAGCUCUGUUGUAAGAGAAGAACGGGUGUGAGAGUGGAAAGUUCACACUGUGACGGUAUCUUACCAGAAAGGGACGGCUAACUACGUG